rnacentral:rRNA from 1 species
UACGGAGGGUGCAAGCGUUAUCCGGAUUUACUGGGUUUAAAGGGUGUGUAGGCGGGCUUUUAAGUCAGUGGUGAAAUCUCCGGGCUCAACCUGGAAACUGCCAUUGAUACUAUUAGUCUUGAAUUCUGUUGAGGUGGGCGGAAUAAGUCAUGUAGCGGUGAAAUGCAUAGAUAUGACUUAGAACCCCGAUUGCGAAGGCAGCUCACUAAACAGAUAUUGACGCUGAGGCACGAAAGCGUGGGGAUCAAACAGG